UACGAAGGGGGCUAGCGUUGUUCGGAAUCACUGGGCGUAAAGCGCACGUAGGCGGAUCGUUAAGUCGAGGGUGAAAUCCCAGGGCUCAACCCUGGAACUGCCUUCGAUACUGGCGAUCUUCGAGUCCGGGAGAGGUGAGUGGAACUCCGAGUGUAGAGGUGAAAUUCGUAGAUAUUCGGAAGAACACCAGUGGCGAAGGCGGCUCACUGGCCCGGUACUGACGCUGAGGUGGCGAAAGCGUGGGGAGCAAACAGG
rnacentral:rRNA from 1 species